rnacentral:lncRNA from 1 species
AUUCCACUUGGUUCUUGCUUUGUUGUUGCUGAGUGGAACCCAGAGCUUUGUGCAUUCUAGACAAAUGUUUUGCUCACCCCAGACCCUUAGGGUAGGUUUUUAACAGGUGUGACUGCUCAGAGCUCCUGGCCCCGGGCCGUUAUGGCUGCUCUCUGAAGGUCUCCCGUUUCUUCCACUCUAUGCAGGAAUUCACCGUCUCCCAGCUCUGUGGCCAGCAGUGACUCAGGAAGUACAGAUGAGAUCCAGGAUGACCUGGAGCGGGAGGCGGAUGUGGAGCCCAUGGUCAGCUGAUGACGGAGGCCGGACGCUCCUGGUGGUCUUGGUGAUGGGGCCCAGCCUCCUCUCCCCACUGAGCCAUGAGGGCUCCUCGACUUGGGCUCCAGUCCUCGACACACAGACUUCUGUCCUCCCUUCUCCGGAGGCCCAGCGGGACCGCUGCUUCCUUCCUUCCUCCACCACCCACCCAUGGAAUGGUGCUGUCGAUUUUUCUAUUGUCCCCCCCACACCACAAAUGCAGACUUCUGUGCGUCGAUGCAGUGCAAUUGUGCCUUCUCCCUUAAGCUGAGCCACUUUGAGCUCCAAAGAAUUCUUCCUAGCAGGUGUUUUUUUAUACAAAACUAAGGUGAGGGUGGGGCCUGGGGGCGUGGUAUCUUUUGGUUUUCUCCCUCCCACCUGCUCCUCUGAUUGGACAUGAGCUUUGCUCCCUC